rnacentral:rRNA from 1 species
AUUGAACGCUGGCGGAAUGCUUUACACAUGCAAGUCGAACGGCAGCACGGACUUCGGUCUGGUGGCGAGUGGCGAACGGGUGAGUAAUGUAUCGGAACGUGCCCAGUCGUGGGGGAUAACGUAGUGAAAAUUACGCUAAUCCCGCAUACGAUCUAUGGAUGAACGCGGGGGAUCGCAAGACCUCGAGCGAGUGGAGAUGCUGAUAUCAGAUUAGGUAGUUGGUGGGGUAAAGGACCACCAAGCCAACGAUCUGUAGCAGGUCUGAGAGGACGACAAGACACACUGGAACUGAGACACGGUCCAGACUCCUACGGGAGGCAGCAGUGGGGAAUUUUGGACAAUGGGCGAAAGCCUGAUCCAGCCAUUCCGCGUGCAGGAUGAAGGCCCUCGGGUUGUAAACUGCUUUUGUACAGAACGAAAAGGUUUCUACUAAUACUAGGUGCUCAUGACGGUACUGUAAGAAUAAGCACCGGCUAACUACGUGCCAGCAGCCGCCGUAA